rnacentral:lncRNA from 1 species
AUGCCCAGCUCUGCCCCUCCCCUGCCCCCCUACCCCAUUCCCAGCCCAGACCCCCAACUACAGCCUCAGCCCCUUCCUACGGACUCUGAGCCCCCGACUCCGGCCGGGACCGGGACGCAGCCCCCUCCUCACGGACUGCGACCCCGACUCCAGCCGGGACCCUCGACUCCGACCCCCUCCUCACGGACCGCGACCCCCGACUCCAGCCGGGACCCUCGACUCCGACCCCCUCCUCACGGACCACGACCCCCGACUCCGGCCAGGACCCUCGACUCCGACCCCCUCCUCACGGACCGCGACCCCGACUCCAGCCGGGACCCUCGACUCCAGCCCCUUCCUCAAGGACCGCGACCCCGACUCCGGCCGGGACCCUCGACUCCAGCCCCUUCCUCAAGGACCGCGACCCCGACUCCGGCCGGGACCCUCGACUCCAGCCCCCUCCUCACGGACCGCGACCCCGACUCCGGCCGGGACCCUCGACUCCAGCCCCUUCCUCAAGGACCGCGACCCCGACUCCGGCCGGGACCCUCGACUCCGGCCCCCUCCUCACGGACCGCGACCCCGACUCCGGCCGGGACCCUCGACUCCGGCCCCUUCCUCAAGGACCGCGACCCCGACUCCGGCCGGGACCCUCGACUCCGACCCCCUCCUCACGGACCGCGACCCCGACUCCGGCCGGGACCCUCGACUCCGGCCCCCUCCUCACGGACCGCGACCCCGACUCCGGCCGGGACCCUCGACUCCGGCCCCUUCCUCAAGGACCGCGACCCCCGACUCCGGCCGGGAGACCCUCGACUCCGACCCCCUCCUCACGGACCGCGACCCCGACUCCAGCCGGGACCCUCGACUCCGACCCCCUCCUCACGGACCGCGACCCCCGACUCCGGCCGGGACCCUCGACUCCGACCCCCUCCUCACGGACCGCGACCCCCGACUCCGGCCGGGACCCUCGACUCCGACCCCUCCUCACGGACCGCGACCCCCGACUCCGGCCGGGACCCUCGACUCCGACCCCCUCCUCAAGGACCGCGACCCCCGACUCCAGCCGGGCUCCUCGACUCCAGCCCCUUCCUCACGGACCGCGACCCCCGACUCCGGCCGGGACCCUCGACUCCGACCCCCUCCUCACGGACCGCGACCCCGACUCCAGCCGGGACCCUCGACUCCGACCCCCUCCUCACGGACCGCGACCCCCGACUCCGGCCGGGACCCUCGACUCCGACCCCCUCCUCACGGACCGCGACCCCCGACUCCGGCCGGGACCCUCGACUCCGACCCCCUCCUCACGGACCGCGACCCCCGACUCCGGCCGGGACCCUCGACUCCGACCCCCUCCUCACGGACCGCGACCCCCGACUCCGGCCGGGACCCUCGACUCCGGCCCCUUCCUCACGGACCGCGACCCCCGACUCCAGCCGGGCCCCUCGACUCCGGCCCCUUCCUCACGGACCGCGACCCCCGACUCCAGCCGGGCCCCUCGACUCCAGCCCCUUCCUCACGCACCGCGACCCCCAACUCGGUCCACAGCCAAACCGGAGCCGUUCCAGGGCGCCUGCCCCGGGCCGCCCAGGGCCGCCCUCCGCCCCGGCCACGCCCCUGCCCCCCGAGCCCGAGGCAGGGCCGCCGGACCCCGGCCCGGCCGGCGGCUGCACGCGCCCUUACCUGAGCUCUGGCCGCCGCGGCCGCCUCAGCCUCGCCGCGCAGCCGAACCCGCCGCCUAGCCGGCAAGCGCCCGCUCCCUCCGGGGGCGGGGCCGGAGCCCGGGGGACGGGCACUGGCAGGCAGCGCGGCCAAUCAGGAGCCCGGACGGCGGGAGGCCCCGGGAGGGGCGGGGAGCGGGGCAGGCAGCGGGGUAGGCUGCGCCCAGGCGAGGGGGCGGGGCUCGCAGCGUGGGCGGGGCCAGGAGGUGGGACGCUGAGUGGCAUCGCCGCUGGCCACCCGCGAGCGGGGAACCGCGUGGUGGGGGCG